rnacentral:lncRNA from 1 species
CAAUUGUCAAGGAAUUGGUUUCUGGAAAAGAGGAGUUAGAGAAGCCAGCAACUAAGGAAGAAGAAGAGCCCACCUAAGUUAACCAAAGAGGAAGAGGAGUUGGUUAAGAAAGAAGAGAAGUAGAGAAAACAAAACGAAGCUGCAAAGAUGAAGGAGCAGCAUGUUGGAGGAGAUAGCAAAAGCAAACGAAGCAAUGUAGAGGAAGAAGAAAAGAAAAGAAAAGGCAAAAGCAAGAGCUGCUCUUAAGGCUCAGAAGGAAUCUGAAGAAAGGGAGAAGG